CAGGAUCACAUGAAUCAGCCCAGCAGCAAUGGCACACAGAAACCUUCACACAUGACCAAAAAGCAUAACCAGAACCAGACACGAUACCAAUAUCACCAGCUCCUCAAAAAGCAAGAGAGAGGGUGAACAAUGUCCUGAGAGGCUGAGGACAGGCAGGAAGCACAGUAGUUAUAGAGGUGUUUUAUCUCCGUAAAGCUGGGGUUUGGGAGAUUUAGGAAAGCAUCAUUCCAAUACAUUUUUCAACAGAUCAGUUAAAAAUACAGCCUCGAGCUUUCAACCAGUCCUUUUUACGUGCAGUAGGAAGCUGGUGAUAAUCGAGCUGUCCAAAAGACGAAGCAAAGCACUCCGGUAUAUUCCCCUGCGUAUUUUUAUGUUAUUUUUGCCACUAGAUGUCUCUGCUGACUUCACAGUGCGCUGGGUGAGCCGCUCGCCCUGGUCAACAGGAGACACCAAGGUGGAAAUCAAGCUGGGACAAAACCUGCUUGUGACUUUCGUUCCUGGGGGGUUGUUUCUGAUUAAUAAUAUCUUCUGUUUAACACAGAGAUAAGAGUCUGAGAGCUUUCUCAGCUAUCUCCCUUUUUUCAAGUGUCAGAAUGGGAAUAAGACACUUGCUGUCAUCCAUCAUUACCCCUAUUUCAGAGUACUUGUUGCCUACUCUGACAUUUUGAUUCUCAUCCCCUUCCCAUCUCCCUGAUGGUCUCUUUGUUUCUUUCCAGGGGGUUUGUUCUCCUUGGAUCUCAUACACACCUACGAGUGCUGUGGACUAAGAGCAGGCAGCGUUGCCUCGAAAGCACCCUGUGGCCAGCAGAAAGGGCUGUGGGAUGCUGUGUAGAGCUCAGGGUGUCUGAGCAAAGCACCUUUUCGAUAGGUGCUAAUGACAGAUGUGAGAAUGAUGGGAGGGAAGUCAUGGGGACAACCUGUAUCAUCAGGUGCAGAUGUUGACUCCAAGUUCCUGUACUCCAAGAUUUGAGGGGGCUCGAGGUUGGAAACCAUGUCAGAUGGUGCCUAAACUGUGCAGUCCAGGAGCCAGGACUGGAUAAAACUAUUACAGCAGUGACUGUGUGUCUUCUGGAAGAGAGCUGGUUGUCUUCUGCUGGCUUACAGCAAGGUGGACAGGCUUAGUGCAUCCUUUGGCCAUGGCUGCAGGAUUGCCCCCGGUGACUGACAACUUAUACCGAGAGUUGUGGAACAGUCACGAAAUGGGAGGUGCUGGAAACUGCAGCAACUUUGAUACUAUAGCUCUUAAGAUGUAAAGGGUACCCAGCCCAGAGGUGAAACAAUGUGUGCCUGAGGUAGAAGCUGUGGCCCCAAGCGGGAUGCUCAUAUUGCCCUUGAUGCUACAGCAAUGCUGUGCCUGAGGUUUCUGAUAACCCGAGCAAGAGCAAGCCUGGCAUUCAUGGCGGUGGUUUGCACUUGUGACUGGAGCACCAGGGCUGCAGUGGAGGCCACUGCCAUUUGCCUGAGAUUUGAAAUCCAGUCCAAAAUGGUGUUUUGCCAUUGAUGUCACCACAGGGACUAGUCCCUGCCCUAGGAGACCUUCUCCCCUCUUGGAUGGACAUGAGCAUGCCCUGAUAGGUUUGUGAGCGCACGUGAAGUCUCAGGGUUAUAAUCUCUUCACCAUUACAAGGAAUAGAUAAACUCAGCAAGACUUCAAAAAAAAUCUUCAGCAUUUCCCCUUUUUGCAGCUCACCACUCUGUGUUUCCAUUCAUUCCUGACAAAACCGAGAAGCUUUCAACACCAAAUAACACCUUCCCAAUUUCACCGUGUUCCCACGACAGUUCAGGGCAGUGUCCAAGUGCAAGGAAAUUCCAGGGAUGCUCAGAGGCGUAUCUCAGGGGAGGAGCUUGGAAGAAAAUAUCACAGGGUUCAUGUUUUAACAGGCUACCCUCAAGAUAAUGGUGAGAAUUAGAGAGUUUUCUCCCCUUUCCAUUAUUUAGCUCUGUAUCUCAGCAAUUAUCAGAAAGGAAGUGCUGCAUGGGAUAGGUGGGGCUUUGACAAACAACGGUACGAUACAAAUUCUGGGACUGGCAAAUAUUGUCAAAAUAUCUUCUGAACUCACAUGACAGCACACUCAGUCUGAGUUUAAAACCAGUAACUGCAGGAAGAGAAGGUGGGAUCCAGAGCUCGGGCUGGUCCCCGAGUCUGAUAUGGCAUCUCCAAAUAACAGACCUGAGAACUGGAGGAAAUGUGGCUUUCUCCUCUCUUUACCUGCUCCUGGAAAAGCUGUGCCUAAAACUGACAUGUUUGCAUCCAAAUCCCUUUUCUCCUUUCUUCAUUUACUCUGCUUGCUUUGUUAUGAUUCAGGUCAGCAGUAAACCUGGGCAUAGGACUGAGUGGGGUUCUGAACUGCAAAGGGAUGCUUUCCCACUCUGGGGGUAAGGUAACACACUUAACAUCUCCGUUUCUCAGUUUGACCAUCUUAAAACAGGGAAUAGCAAUAUCGACCAAAAGAGGUUGUGACAUUUAAAUGCUUGACAAGUCCUGGGGGACAGAGGUGCCGCUGAACUGCAUGAGCUCCUGUGGCACACUGAAGAAGAAAACUAGUAAGGUUAUAUGUGCAAAUUGUGCUCCGGCAUGGAGACUAUUUCCAGGAAUCAAAUAUCAUACAAAAACCCCUCCCUUAAACUUGUGGUUGCAUCCAUGGAAAUUAAUGGCAUUAUCUGUGAUUUGUCAUAGAGAACUGAUAAUGACCUUAGCACUUAAAAGAUGUUACAGGGGGCCUUUUUCCCCUAUUUGAAGUCUGGGUGAGGCUAGCUUGAUUAUCAAGUUUGAUCUAAUUCAUCAUCCGGCUCAUUGACUUUCAUUCAGUGGUUCUUACAACGUGCUCCAAAACCUGUGGUGCCUGGACUACUUUGAUCAUACAUGGAGAUGGGAUGUUACAGCCACAGGUAUGAAGAAACCAAAUUGGCUAAUUCCUUCAUUAAAUCAGAGCAGAGGGAAGAGCUGGAACCCAAAUAGGGAUGGGACACUCUCUUUUUCUAGCCCCUAUCAGCUUACCCAUCCAGUAGCUGCUGUCUCUCCCACUGACUCCAGGCAGAUGUUGAACAAGCCUUGUUCAGGGUAGUUGAAUGCCUGGUUUAUGGACAGAACCGGUUGCACAGAAAAGGCCAUAAACACAAUGUAAAGGAAAAAAGAGGUGGGACUGAGUUUUUUGUUUGGGUUUUUUUUUAACGUCUUCCUUCUCCUCCUCAUAAAUAAUAUAGCCAAUUAGGUUUUGGGUUCAAUCUUGGUCUCUCUUUGCUUCCAGGCGAUCUCCUGAACCCUUGAUCCUCACUCAUGGGGUGAGGUUGGACCUCGCUUGGCCAGUGUUCACUGGUGAGGCUGUGGCACCAUUGCUCUUGCAAGCAAAUAUAACUUUCUGACUACAUCCACGCUAAUAACCAGCACAGGUCUCAGCUGGCCAUGCAGCUAAAUUUUAUGCAUGGUCCCUGGAAGAGUUUUGGCCGGUCCCAAACAGUCCAGAUAGUCUUCCCAGUGACGGGGAUGGAUGUGACCAACCUGUUCUGGGAAAAAAUAGAGAUUAAUGAUAAAGGUACAGACCCUUCCAUCUCAUCUGGCCAUCGGGCCAGGGAACAGGCCUUGGCAAUGCUCCUUUUGCUGGCAUAAACGGAGAUACUAAAGUGCCUGCUCUAGAAGAUGUUCUGUAAGAACCACUGAAUUCAAAGUUGGAGAUCAUAUCCAGGGUGGAUGCUGAACGCAAGGAUGCAGAAAAGAUUUUGAGUAAAGUUUACAAGCAGCUUCUCAAAUGGCUUGAAGAGAUGAGAUUUCCAAACUUCAAGUAACCCACAUCUUUUAAUAAACUGGCCUGAUAUGAAGAACUUCUUACCUGAUGAUUCCUGGGUCAGCAUUUCCAAACAAAGCAGGAAAAAAAAACAUUUCCCUAAGCUGAAUCCUCUUUCUGUAAGAGCAGCCUUCACCCCCAGGCAACUGUACCACCCCAUCAGAGCCCAGCAUUCAGCUCCCACCAAACAGCAGUGCUCGCUGAAAGCAGCCAAGGACUGGUGCUGGAUCAAUGAGGCAAAGGGAAUUCAUCCAUGGAAAUGCAAUCUGCAUGGCUGAACAUGGAUAAGGAGGAGACAGCAGGAGUGCUGGACAGGGUUGACCGUGCACCACAAAUUAGGGGGGGAAGAAGCCAGUGAGAUUUUUCAGACAGUCUCUCCGUGUGCAGUUAGGAUGAAGUUAAGCUCAAGGACUCGGCAAAGCAUUUGGUUGUAGAAGCAGCAGAAGGAUGAAGGCGAGUGGAGGUGCUCAUCACUGAGGGCAGUAGGAGGCAGGUAGGACACAUGUACAUCAGGGUUCAGGUCAACUGUAGCCAUCUAAGGGCUUCAAAUAAGCAUAGCUGACUGGUGAAAAGUGAGAUAUUUCCAGAGGGCGGUUGUAGGACUAUGUUAGAUAGCCAAAUUGGGGGGGGGGCUUGCUUAACCCUGAUGAUACCCUGCUCUCUGUUUUCACUGUGGGAGAGCACUAGGUGACCAUCUUCUGCUGGACUUAAGUCGAUGAAAACUCCCCCCCACCUCUUAUGGAUGGAAAAACCAGGAAAAUCCAGGCGUGAAUGCCCAAGUGACAGCUUGUAAGAGACACAGCCAACAAUCAGCUGCAAGUGUGAGAAGGGUGAGAACAGGAGGCUAAAAGAAGGGCUGCCGGGGUGCCAAACGGGAGAGAUUAUUCAAGUGGAUCAAAGGAAAGGGAAGCAGGACAUGAUAAUCUGGGACAGCCCUUCUCCAGGAUGGGAUCUAUUGGGCUGCAAGCUCACAUCUGCAGGGAAGCAGCAGGAGCCACAGGGACCGGCUCUCUUAAAGCAGGACUGGAUGAAGAAGCAAUGCGUGUGCUCUAAGGAAGAGUCCCAGAGCAGGCAGGGGACAUCUGUAUUGAAAGACAUCUCCAGAUUUUAUUUCGUCAUUGUUUUAGAAGGAAUAGUAGUUCAUCUGGAGACUGUUGGGACUAUUGUCAAAGUAAGGCAGUAAUCCAUGGAGCAAAUCCCCACCUGGCCUUACUAAAGGAGGUGACUUCACUACAGUGAGUGAAGCUGCUGCAGCUUUUCUCAGAGGAGGCUGUGAAGAUGCUUUUGGGUGAACGCGAGUCACACCACGGAUCCGAUUGCCACUUCUGAACCCUCUGGCUCUGGGGACCAUGAGGUGGCGCAGUUACCCUGGAUAUCAGAUCACAGCUGGCUGCACACUGGCCAGGGAGUCGGUGAGGUACUGCGGGACAAGAAAGAGCAAUCAAGCGUAUUGCGCUCUCCUGUUAGCAAGUGUGGACCUUGCAAGGAUCCCUUUCCUCUCCUUUUCUUAAAUAGGGCUUUAAAAAAAUAAACUAACGGCAAACGCAUUUUAUGUUUCCCCCCUGGAAAGCACUACAAGGACAUCGCUUGUUUUAUUAGCGGGGCAGCGGGAUGCAA